rnacentral:rRNA from 1 species
UACGUAGGGUGCAAGCGUUGUCCGGAAUUAUUGGGCGUAAAGAGCUCGUAGGCGGUUUGUCGCGUCUGCUGUGAAAACCCGAGGCUCAACCUCGGGCCUGCAGUGGGUACGGGCAGACUAGAGUGCGGUAGGGGAGAUUGGAAUUCCUGGUGCAGCGGUGGAAUGCGCAGAUAUCAGGAGGAACACCGAUGGCGAAGGCAGAUCUCUGGGCCGUAACUGACGCUGAGGAGCGAAAGCAUGGGGAGCGAACAGG